GAGGUUCACUCUCUGAAGAAACUUAGGCAGAGACAUCCUGAUUCGUAGGAGACAAAGGCUUGGAGGACUGAUAAGCAGCACGGAAAUGCACAAGGAGCAGAGGAAGGGUGUGGUCCAUCCCGGACAGGCUGAGCUCUUAUGCUGAAGAUCGCCACCCAGUGGGGACACGGGAAAUUCCAGCCCAGGGUGCCCAGCUGUGACCUAAUGAGGAAGCCUGUGGAUGGUGACAGAAAGCUGGCUAACAUAAGAGUCACUGAAGACUUUCAUCUUUCCUCUAAUAAAAUGGAGUCAGACAUUGUGCUGGCUGGUUUUGAGGGUCAACUUGACUGACAAGAAGCUCAAGCCAGAGAGGAGGGAGCCUCAGUUGAGGAAAUGCCUCCAUGAGAUCCAGCUGUGAGACAUUUUCUCAUUAGUGAUCAACGAGGGAGCCUAAUAAGGAGAGUGCUGUCCCUGGUCUGGUGGUCCUGGGUUCUAUGAGAAAGAAAGCUGCUAAGCCAUGUUAAACAAGCCAGUUACCAGCACCCCUCCAUGCCCCCUGCACAGCUCCUGCCUGCAGGCUCCAGCCCUGCUUUAGUUCCUGUCCUGACUUCCUCCAAUGAUGGACCAUGAUCUGGAAGUGUAAGCUAAAUAAAGCCUUUCCUCCCCAAC
rnacentral:lncRNA from 1 species